ACGUAUGCGUCAGAGGCGGUUCGUGGGCCAGGCUAGCAGCGUGGGCAGAUGGGUUUCUAGGCGGCCGUCGACCGCCGACGAGGUGAGCCGUGGAUCAGGUUCUCGAUUUCCGUCUGCUCCGUGGCUCAGAAAAGUCGCUGCUCCACGCAUUGAAUGCAAGGUGUGUCUGUUUUGUCCCAACGCGGCCGUCAUUUUGGAGAUUCAGAAGCAAGGAGGGGAGAGAGUGGAAGAACAGGCGACCGACAGGAUGGCUCAUGCAAUCAGGAGGCAUGUCGAUCCGAUCCAAUCUGAUUGAGGAGGUUGGGGGAGAGUCUAGUGCUGGAAGGGUCGCCGGCACAUGGCGCCAGGCGGACAGUGGUCAAGGUGACGCUGCAGGAGGCCACGGGUGUGAGCGCCAAAGGGCGGAUCUGCGGCGUGGCUGAAGCGGCGGCAGUGGCAAGGGGCAGCGGCAGUGACAAGGGGCAGCCCGCCUCUGACUUCCGAGCUGUCGACGGGGAAGAUGAAUCCUCAGGCUCCUCGUUAGAACAAGAGUUUGGUUUAAUUUCUGCGGGGAAGACUCCAUGGUGUGACAUGAAUUAGCGUGCAAACUGAUUGUUCUGAAUUGGAAUUAAAUUCAACAUUGCUAUGAAGAUUUACGGUUGAGGAUUGGAGUCUCUGCCCCAAGCUUGACACCUUGCUCACCCCGCAUAAGCGCUUUUGAGAAGGCAGUUAGGGUCUUCGUAGAAAACCCGACUGAAGAUGAGCCGUGGCUUGUAAUUUGGCGGUGGUAAUCUGGUUCGCGGACCAGGAAAUUCGCUUUCCGUUAGGUGGAUGGCUUGAAUCAUUCGCUGCAGGCCGGUGGCUCCCCGACUGCGGUAUCCAAAUCCAUUUCCAGUCAGCGGGGUGCUGCAGCGCACAUGACUCCAUUCCAGUGAUGGAGUUCCUAAUGCAGCCAAUUAGAAGGUAUCCUAUUGUGGAGGAGGUGAGUGAGAGUGAGCAGGAGAUGGAUCUGCCAGCGAACAGGGCGGUGACGACUUUCCCGAUAGUGGAUGAACCAUCGGCGGCCUAUCCGCGUAGAUGUGUGAGUUACAGAACGCCGUGUUGGGAAGACGGAAGAGCCCGUCGCAGCAGUCUGAACUAUCAACUGGUAAGAUGAACCUGCAGGCGCUGUGAUGGUCUAAAAGGUGCACGCGUGUAAGCUUGGAUUGGAUCUGAAUUUAUUGAGAAUGCUUGAAUGAAAUUGUAGUAGAAUGCAUAGAUCUAUCGAUGUAGUGACAUUCAUUCAGUAGCAUGAGAAAUUGUCUACAUGGAACUUUUAGAGCACGUUUGUAUUAAUAAUUGACUACACUGUACUAGUUGAAAUUAGCUCAUGAUUGAGCAAUUCUGUAGAAAAAAAGUACAUGCCGUUCGGACAAUUUGUCGGUUGAAAAACCAUAACCAGAGUGUGAUCUUAGCUGGCGUCCUGGUACACGAUGAGACCGUGUAGAGUUUUGAGUGGUUUUUUUUACUGAAUUCUUGAGGAUUAUGGGACCUGUAGCACCAAGGACAAUCCUAACGGGUAUGUUGAUUAAGGACAUUUCUUAAAAAGAGUACUUGAAGAUGGUGCUGGUAGUAUGAUGAUAUGAUUGUUUCUUGUUUUUGUUCAUGUGCAGACCAGAAUCGAGCUGCGGAGGUCGCAAUUAAGAGUGUGAUGCUUGUUGGUGUGCCGACGGCUGGGGCACAAGAGAACUACUCCCUCCGUUUCUAAAUAAAGACUUAUAUUUAGGAAGAGAGGAAGUACUUAUCUAGAUCGUGGUGAUGUGCCAAAGCAGCCUUGGAAGCCGACGAGGUGCAAAAAUUGUGGUGUGGUGGGGCACCAAAGGAAUAAUUUUACGAAAGCAAUGGACCUGAGGUUAGCUGGUGGCGUGUAGUGGUGAGUGAAAAAUGCCAAACGAUUUCAGUAAGUUUGAAUGGUCAAAGUGUGACUUUGUUUUCUGCAUUCGUGAUGUGUUUGUGCAACUGAGCAACUGCCCUGCGUGCAGGCAUGCUUUAUGUCUCGAGUUGUAAUACAAAUGUAUUCAGUGAUGCAUUAGUGGGUGCUGUGAAGUAUCUAGGGUUGAAAAAAAUAUCCUUUUUUCAGUUGGGUUUAUGGAAGGUGAACUGCUUAAUUAGAUGGAACCAUGCAAGUGGACUGAAUUUCUAUAAUCAGUUGUUGUUUUGUAUGCUUGACGGAAGUCUACAGCCGGGCAGAUGGAUAUAGUCGUCAGUGCGGGCGACGACGGCUCUAUGGUGACCUUGCAUGCAGGUAUCAGCAGAUGAUGCAGAGGGGACAUUGUCGAGCAAGCGUCAAAUGUGGCAAUGCAGAGUGAGGAUGCAAUAAAGUAUUGGACUGACGCUUCAGAAGGCGUGACACGUUCCACUGGACUAGGCGCCGGAAUAUGAUCCAGUCAACCUGGCGGCUGUUGAUGUUGUUGGGGAGGGCUAAGGUGAUUAUGAUCCAGUAAUGAAUCAUGGAGAUGAGUCGAACAAAUUGUUCGGUGUCGACAAUGGAUCCGUCAUCCGUUGCUGGAAAUGGGUGUGUUAUUCCGACGAGGAGUAUGCAGAAGUGAGAAAUUCUGAACCAAAACGACGGCGGCUCGUUUAGGGAAGAACCAGGAUCAGUUUGCUGGCGUUGCGUCGGGUAAUGAUGUCAUUACCCGCCUAGUGCUGGUGUUGUGAUGCAAUCCAUGUACAAGUUUGUUGUGCUGUCAUAGUUAAUUAAGAUUCAUAAUCAUCAUAUCACAUUUGUCU